rnacentral:rRNA from 1 species
GACGAACGCUGGCGGCGUGCCUAACACAUGCAAGUCGAACGGAACUGUUUUGAAAGAUUUCUUCGGAAUGAAUUUGAUUUAGUUUAGUGGCGGACGGGUGAGUAACGCGUGAGUGACCUGCCUUCAAGAGGGGGAUAACAUUCUGAAAAGAAUGCUAAUACCGCAUGACAUAUCGGAACCACAUGGUUCUGAUAUCAAAGAUUUUAUCGCUUGAAGAUGGACUCGCGUCCGAUUAGUUAGUUGGUGAGGUAACGGCUCACCAAGACCGCGAUCGGUAGCCGGACUGAGAGGUUGAACGGCCACAUUGGGACUGAGACACGGCCCAGACUCCUACGGGAGGCAGCAGUGGGGGAUAUUGCGCAAUGGGGGCAACCCUGACGCAGCAACGCCGCGUGAAGGAUGAAGGUUUUCGGAUUGUAAACUUCUUUUAUUAAGGACGAAAAAUGACGGUACUUAAUGAAUAAGCUCCGGCUAACUACGUGCCAGCCGCCGCGGAAA